rnacentral:rRNA from 1 species
GACGAACCGUGCGAACGUUGUCCGGAAUCAUUGGGCGUAAAGAGCGCGUAGGCGGUCCGAUAAGUCGGUUGUGAAAACUGGGGGCUCAACCCUCAGAGGCCGACCGAUACUGUCGGGCUAGAGUCCGGAAGAGGCGAGUGGAAUUCCUGGUGUAGAGGUGAAAUUCGUAGAUAUUAGGAAGAACACCAGUGGCGAAGGCGGCUCACUGGUCCGGUACUGACGCUGAGGUGCGAAAGCGUGGGGAGCAAACAGG